rnacentral:rRNA from 1 species
GACGAACGCUGGCGGCGUGCCUAAUACAUGCAAGUAGGACGCAGUUGCGAACGGUUGAGUAACGCCUAGGUAACUGCCUAUUAGAGGGGUAUAACUAUUGGAAACGCUAGCUAAUACCGCAUACUAUUAGAUGGACCUUCGUUUUAUUAGCUAGUAGGUAGGGGAAUGGGCUACCUAGGCGACGAAACAUAGACGAGCUGGGAGGGGGGUUGGCCAGACUGGGACUGAGGAAAGGCCCAGAAUCCUACGGGAGGGAGCAGGAGGGGAUCUUCGGAAAAGGGGGGAAACCUGACCGAGCAACGCCGGGUGAGGGAAGAAGGUUUUCGGAUCGGAAAGCUAUGUUGUGAAGGAAGCGGUACUUACCCAGAAAGGGACGGCUAACUACGUGCCAGCAGCCGCGGUAAUUC